rnacentral:lncRNA from 1 species
UAAAGACGAAGACAAGGCCUGGCACCAUUCACUCCCUGGAGCUGAAAUAUUAACACCAUCAAGAUAAAGUUCUCGAAGCUCUUUAAGGUUCUGAACAAGCGUUUUCAGAUUCGGAUUCUCGAGUUUCUUUGGCUGAGACAAAUGGCGAAAAGUGGACAGAUCAAGAGUAACCAACCUUGUCAUCCUCGAAACCUCAAUUGGAAUCUGUCCAACAAAACCUGCAUUUGAUAAGUUCAAGUACGUCAAAUUCGCAAGAUUAUAAAUCCCCUUCGGAAUCUGAAUGUCAUACAAUCUGUUGUAAGCCAAAUUCAGCUUCUCAAGAUACUGGAAACCAAGAAGACUAGUUGAAUUCUCAAUCCCACCCGAAAUCGAUUCUUGAUCCAGCUCCAAACUGAUCACAUGCCCUGAACUAUCGCAGGCAAUCCCCUUCCAGGUGCAACAAUCCUCCGACCGAUUCCAUGUCACCAGUUUGACAGAAAGUGUCGGGUCGAAGAUGAUGCUGUUCUUGAAUUGAAUCAAUAAUGACCGUUGAUCAUCGAGACAUUGUCCAGAAACCAGUUUAGUUGUCAAGGAAGAAUUUAACUUAAAGUCAUCUUUCAUUUUAUGUAACAAGACUUUCUGAUCCUCCAGGAAUUGGCUGUGUACAGGAGCCAAAUUGGGAUUGCCGAAACUAAAGAAUACAGAGAUCAAGAAAAACAAUGGUGAGAAUAGAAUUCUCAUUUUGAUUCAGAUGUGAAUACUGAAGGUGCUAGUGAAGUUGUAGUGAGGAUCUCCUCUGUAUGGGUGGCUUUAAAUUAUAUGGCCAAGUGGAUUGACCAGUUGACCUGGGGCCUAUAGACGUGUUCUACAAGUUUGAAAUUGGCAUAGGAGAGAGACUUCACUGAAAGGUUUUGAAAAUCAAUGCUCUAUAAAUUUGGAAUUGGCGAGCGGACUUGGGGUCUAUAGAUGUGUUUCAUAAGUUUUGAAAUAGUGAUUUAAUGAGGAAUAUGUGAGUUUAAAAGUAAAAAAAAAAAGUUUAAGUUUACGUACGAAAUAUUUCAUUGUGAGAAUACAUAAUUGAAAAUGAGUUUGAGGAUAAACAAACAAGUUUUAUUUUAAUGGUUGCCAAACAGAGGGCAAAAGCAUGUAUUUUAAAUUUGAUUAUUAUUAAUCACGUCAUUAAAAUUUAUUUUCAGAAAUCAGGUGCUAAUUGGGUUUUUGAAAACAUAAAAUAUAUAUUCUAAUAUUUAUGAAAUUAAAUUAUCGAAAGUAGAGUAAUUAACCCUUAAAUUAAAAGUAACUAAAUAAGGAUAAAUAUUACCCUUGCCCUCUACGUCCUCAGGCCCAAUUGUAAAUAUCACAGCUGAACUCUCUCUCUCUCUCUCUCUCUCUCUCUCUCCACAGAUUAUUUUCUCUCUUUAUCUAUUUACAAAUACAAAACUUUCGGCCAAAUUCGAGGUCGUUGACUCCACCCCAUAAAUUUUUGGAAGACUUCAUUAUUGUGGAGAAUUGGAAGUAGAAAGAAGUAAUUAGUAUUCAGUUGAAGGGAACUUCAAAUCAUAAAGAAUACUAAUUUAUUGAAUUCGAUUGUAGGUUACGUUGCUCAAUUAGUAACAGAAUUCAAUUUAAAUUUAUCAUAAAAUUUUAUUAGGUAUUGAGUUCAAAUUUCAUAAGAACACAAUAGAAAUCCGUGAAACAUAAAAUUAACUCAUACUUUCUCCAAGCAGAUAGUACGUAUGAGUUAACGAUUUAAACACAUGUCCAGAUCAUUACAAAUUUGGGGCCAAAAUGUACACGAGAAUAACAACUAAAUUAGAAAGGAAAUAUCAACUUAGGGUGGAGAAAAAGAUCUCAUCUUCCAUAACAAAAUGAAUGAACAUCCGCAUUUAUUUUGCUUUUCAAAUGAUGCAAUCAAGAUCCUUAAGAAUAUAAAAGUACACUUAUGAGACAUGAAGUUAAAAUUGAUGCAGCUCCUUCAUUUUGAUAUCCGUAUCCAAUCUGUUGCACUUUCCUUGAUGCCAUAUUUACUGGUAAAUACACUAUAUUUCACCUCAUCAAGGCUGUAUUCAGAAGGUGUCUGAUUGUUAAUUUCCCGUUUAUGUCGUCGUACAAUGUCCCAAGGAACUAUCAUUAUCGCUGGCAGUCUGACUGACACUAUCAAUGGAAUGAAUAUAAUUACAGCACCAAGCAAUGAGGGUCUGUCACACGCUGUAGCUACAUAGCUGAACGAAAAGAUUCCGAGAGGAAAGUAGAGAAAUAAAAAGAGUGGAUUAAAAGUGAGUGGAACAUACGUUCCAAUUGCCAUACCAAAGGCCAAUUAUUCUCAAUACAACAUAAAAAUCCAGACCCACAUUUACAUACCAAACCAACCCGGCUUAACACUGAGUUUGCGUGUUGACUCGUGCUUCUAAAGUUGAAGUCUCCCUAAUUGUCUUCACUUUCGGGUCUUCUCCCACAAUCAAUUGCCUCGAUGAAUUAAAGGAGUCAUCGAUCUUGAUCUCUUGUCCCCAAUGACUUGAAUAAAAUUUUUCUACCGUUGUCAUGAUGACAAAAGAACCUUAAUUAUGAUUUUUUGAAUUUAUGAUCGUUUACUUGAGCAGUGAAAACAUUUAAUCUUGCUCAAUGGGAACAUGAGAUCAAUUCUAAAGAAGUUAUUCUACAUAAAUCAUGACUUGACGUUUUAUUUUCAAAAUGUAUUGCUACGUUGAAUAUAUAAUACAAGUAAAUAAAUUUGUGUCUUAGAUUCAAUAAGGUAUUUAGGCUAGCUAAAUGCUUUGCCUUCUAAUAUGUUCUACUGAUUGGAGUCUAUAAGUCUACGAAGAGUCCAUUUGAUACAACUUUUGCUUUUGCUUUUACAUUUACUUUUAUUUCUUAUAGAAAAGUUAGAUUCCUCAAAAACUCUUUUAAGUCAGACAAAGUAUUUUUAGAAAAUUAUCCUAACUUAUUCAAAAGUAGUUUCUCAGUCGUAGAAAUAGUUUUUAAAUUUUCAAAAAUCUUGUCAAACGAACCCUAAGCUAUCUUGACUGCGUAAAUCUUCCUUCUCUUUACCUCUACUUGUUGGUAUACAUAUAUUAUGAGAACGCAAACAAAAUUUAUCAAAUUGGAACAUUAUGUUGUUCGUUUUGCUCUCUUCUUGUAUAUUGUCACUCAACCACUAACAAUAUGUUUGGCACCAGUGGUACAUGCAGACAUUUUGAAUUAGAGGAACGCUAUUUGUUCGGGGUUGGAGAUGAGGAAUGAAAUCCGACUCAAUUUGCAAGCUGUAUUGAGUUUAAAUAAUAAAUAAAAUUAUUUAAUUAUCGAGUAAAAUAAUUUACACAAUUUAAUUGGAUAAGAUAAUACAGCCAAACUACUUAUAUUAAUUUACUUAGGCAAGCACCUUGGCCAACCACAAAAAUACACUCACGCCCCCACCUAUAUUUUCUCCACUCAUUCUAUCUCACAUACCUUGUCCUUGUGUCUCUCUGUAUCUUCCCUUUCACAAACUCUGUCUUCCAUACAUACGCUACAUACAUCAACUAUAUUUGUAGAUAACAAUAUCGGUUGGCUGCACUUCUAAAAGGUUCUCAUGUGGUGAUUGAUUAAGAACAGUAAACUUCUGGAUAAUUUCAUUAUGACUGUAUUUUUUAUGAAAUUGGAUUCUUCUUUCUUCUUCUAGACUUGGAUGCAUCUGUAUAAAUUUAUUUUCUUUACAAUCUUCUAUGGAUGUUGGUAAAUAUAGCUGCCAUUUUAGGACAUUCUCUUCAUCUGAAAUCUGGAAUAUGAUGAACAAUUUUGUGUUUAAUCAGUUAGUCUUCUUCAGGCUGGGGGGUUAUAACUUAUGCAGCAGAGUUUUCCAAGGUUUCUUCAAAUUGAUUUUGCUGAAGUUUUGCAACAGGAGUGUCUCUGUCUGCCUCUAAAUGCCUAAAUGCUAAAUCUGAUUUUGUGAUUCAAAAAAUAAAAAGCUUAAAAGUCGUUGGGUCAUGUUACCCACCAGGACCUACUGUAGGUCCGCCAGUGUUUAGCACUAUAUUGAACUGAAAUGAAUUUAACAGAUAACAGAUAACAAGAUAAAGUUCUCCAUUUAAGGUUCUGAACAAGCGUUUUCAGAUUGGGAUUCUCAAGUUUCAUUGGCUGAGUUCCAAAGGAAAUAGUGGACAGAUCAAGAGUAACCAACCUUGUCAUCCUCGAAACCUCAAUUGGAAUCUGUCCAACAAAACCUGCAUUUGAUAAGUUCAAUUAUGUCAAAUUCGCAAGAUUAUAAAACCCCUUCGGAAUCUGAAUGUUAUACAAUCCGUUGUAAGCCAAAUUCAGCUUCUCAAGGUAACCAAGAAGACUAGUUGAAUUCUCAAUUCCAAUUCGUGAUCCAGUUCCAAACUUAUCACAUGCCCUGAACUCUCGCAAGCAAUCCCCUUCCAGGUGCAACAAUCCUCCGACCGAUUCCAGGUCACGAGUUUGACAGAAAUUGUCGGGUCGAAUAUGAUACUGUUCUUGAAUUGAAUCAAGAAUGACCGUUGAUCAUUAAGUCAUUGUCCAGAAACCAGUUUAGUUGACAAGGAAGAAUCUAACAUAAAGUUAUCUUUCAUUUUAUGUAACAAGACUAUAUGAUCCUCCAGGAAUUGGUUAUACACAGGAGCCAAAUUAGGGUUGCGGAAAUUAAAGAAUAUAGAGAUCAAGAAAAACAAUGGUGAGAAAAGAAUUCUCAUUUUGACACAGUUGUGAAUACUGAAGGUGCAAGCGAAG